CACCCCAGCCUCUACACCACCGCCACUGCCACCGCAUCCUUACCCCUGCCCCACGACUCGACCCCGGUGCCUACCCGCCCUCGCCGCAGUGCCGCCGUCGCCUUCUUUCCUCUGCCCCCAAGAUCUCUGGCGCACCAUGCGCCGAUCCCAAUUCAAUCGAGCCGGCGACAAGCGCCAAUUCACUCAGAUCCACUCUGCGCACUGGCAGGGAGGAGACAGCCAUGGCGUUAGUUGCCUUCACCAACAAGAACACCAUCGACCGCCUCCUCGAGGCCAAACCAGAGAACAAGACGGCAGCGGCGCACCAACGCCGACGCGCUCCUCUUCACCGGCGUCCGCGCUCUCUGAGUCCCAGGUGCGCCUCUCUCUCUCAAAAAAAAAACUAGAUGCAAGAUGAUCCCUGUGCCCAGCGGCGUGGAAGGACAAGAAGAAGGUCGUCACCGAGCAAUGGGUGCAAGACAGCUUCGAACUUGGAUAUGCUAUAGCUAGCCUACCUACCUCUAGCGAUUGUGUGUGUUCUGAACAAUAAACUAGCAUUUUUUAGCAGCAUGCUUAAGUCCUUUCUCUAAAUAAAAUGUAUGCAUGAGUCUCUGUCAUGUGAAUUAGCGUUUUCUACUAAUUAGUCUGAGUGAAGGUGUUGGUUCUUGUUUUUAAUUUGCCAGGUAUUAUAUGGGCCAGUCAGAGAUCCCAAUGGCAUUCCAGGUAGUGAUGAACUUCACAUUUUCCUGACAGGCUAUUAGAAGAAUUGGUACGCAGACAUAAUGGUAUGGUAAAGAAUGCUGCUUUGAUCAUGGCCCCAAUGGUAGAGCAAAUUAUGUUUCAUGCCACUGCACAUAAACCGUGUGUAACCAGGUUUUUAUGAUUGCCUUGAGUUGAUGAAGAGAGCAAAUCUUAUUAGCUGAAUGUUGCCCUGCUGGCUUAUUUUGAUUAAGAUGUCUUUCUACCAGCUAAAUUAUUGUUUGUGGUAGACUCAAGUUGUAUUUAGCUACCAGCUAAAUUAUUCCAAUAGCAAUCUAAAUGGACAUCUCAAGUUCUUUAAUAUCGGCAGAAUGGAGUAUUUAGCUACUGGUUAGAUAUCUUGAUGUUUUAUACUCUGUACUCCAUUUUGAUGAGUUAAAGAGUCAAACUGAUAUGUAUGCAGGUGGUGGCUUUGAACGAAUGUGUGCCUAGGCUGGGAGAUUCAAUUUGAUCUUCAAGUCCAUGGAUGUAUUUCAUCAAGAUCUCUUACAAAUCUGAAUGAUCACAUGCUCAUAGUUGAGUAUUUUAUCAAUUUUGCAAGAAGAUAAUUAUAAAUUCACUGUUACAGCAUGUUUGUUAAUUCCAAAAAAAUCUGAAAUUGUUUGAUUCAUUUCGUAUGAACUUUGGUUAUUUAAUGAGCUUGUUGCUGCUGCUUGGAAUCACUGAGCUCUCAUAUACUAAAUUCAAGAUGGCAAGUAGUUGCAAUUGAAAUCUUUAGUUUGUUCAGUUAAUCUUGGAUUUCAUGUAUUGUUCAGAUAAUUUUGGGUCUAUCUUGCUCUGGAAAUCAUGCUGCUUGCUGUUUCAGUUCUUAUUCAUAUGGACUUCUUUGAGUUUAGCUUGAAUGCUGGAUGCUUCAAAGAGAACCCUAAGGAGAGCUGCUGCUGCGAUGCGGAUAAAGAAGCUCACUUACAAUGGUAACUGAACUCAAAGAAGUCGAUGGUCAGUGAUGUGAUGACGUUGAUGUUUGCUUUUUUCAAAAUGGCGCUAUCGUUUGAAUGAUGGGAUACGCUCACAACAUUUACCAGGCAGCCGGAUGGAUUCUGGUUUAGUGGGCGAGAAAACCUUGGAUGCAUUUUGAAAAAAAAAAUGACCCAUGCAGUAAACUGCCAAAGAAAUGUCUUAUAGAGUAGUAUUUUAUUCUGUCAAACCAGUGUCAUUGAGAAAUGUUACAGCCUCCUUUGGAUGAUUUUGUACUGAUACAUCCAUAAGAACAUAAAAAUGCUGCCCAGUUGGAAACCAUAACUAAAGGCUUAACUAUGGUUAGAUAGCAGGAAGAGUGGCAAGUUGGAGUAGAAAGAAUGAGGGCUAAUAUAAUCUAAGUGCUAUUUAUUUGGUGUCUUGGUAGGUUCACUUUAUAGUUUAUCCAUAUAAGCUGUUGUUAUUUUGCUUGAUGAUGAUGUAAUCCCGUAGCAAUGCAUGGGCACGGACCUAUAGAGGUUCAAUGCUAAUCUCUAUACUGUGCCAAAUGGUCUGAUGCAUGUAAAACUAAAUAUACUGUCCCAUUAAGCUGAAAUAUUUAAGAGACUCGGUGCUAAUGCUGUGCCAAAUUAUUUGAAGCUUAUAUGAUGUCCUUUGCGUGUAGUCAGUGUUAACAGUCAUGUGCCAAAUUUGUCCGGUGAACUCUUCGAGUAUAUGUUUGCAUUGAGUGCAAUUCUCAGUGUGCUUAUUUAAAAAAGCAUUAAUCUUUGUUUGAUAUCAUAGUUUCACUCUUUGCGUACGCCCUGCUCUUGAUUGUUCCACUUUCUGCCCUCCUUUUCUGUAUAAAAAAUGAUCAGUGCAGCGAUUAGUUGUUUAGAUCGUGAAGUCUAUACUUUCAAAUGAGAAUGUUAUAAGGGACUGUCUAUUUAACCUUCCAUCAUGAAAAACAUUUUUCAUGUUCAUUCCUAUGCUACCCUCCAAUAAAACCAAUAAUAGAACUCUUAGUAGUUCAGGUACUUAAACCUUUGAAACAAAAUACUAAAUGCACCAAAUGUUUUUCACUAAAGGUACUACGAGGAACUCUUCCAGAGAUGGACGACAACGACGACACAUCAUCUACUCAGUUUAGAUUCCCAAUGAAGAAUUGAAGAGCUUCCUUGUUUAUAAAUUGCAUGCUUUUGAUCUGAUCGGUUCACUUUCCAGGGUGGAGACUCGGAAUCCAAGUCACUAUAUCAUGAACCAUAACUGAGACAACCGAACGAUGCCCUACUCGUGCAGUGAAUAUGCGACACGUCUAUUUUAGGCGAAAUAAUUGAUUCACAUCUCAUGUUGCACAUGACUCCGACAAAUCUGGUCGGGUCUGCUCUUGUCAAUGAAAGGCCAGGGUAGCAUUCUAAAAGAAAAAACAAUCCUGUUGGACGAUAACAGCGCCAAACCAGCACAAUGCCGUGUGGCUGUCAAUGCUGAGUGAACCUCGCGAUGAUAACGUCCAAGCGCACAGGUUGAUGAACAAUAUGCCUACCCGGAUUUGCAGCGGUGCCGAGCAGUCAAGCCCCAAAAGGUUGUGAACGUCUGCUCAACCUCAGCGGCUCUGCAUGCGCGAGAGCCUAGCUAUCGACAGUUGCAGGACUAACUGUUAACAAUGAAACAACUAGGCCCAAUUAUUUGGUUAGGAUUGAAUUGAUGUAUGUGAGAUGAAUAGAACCAUGUUUAUCUAAACCAAGGCAACGCCUCAUGGAUCCUGCUUCCUUUUCUGACGAUACUGACAUAACCAAAUUUUGAAAUUGUCGCAAGUUCCCCAGGAACUACUGCUACAGAGGUUCAAUUUUGAGACA